CCUACGGGAGGCAGCAGUCGGGAAUUUUGGGCAAUGGGCGAAAGCCUGACCCAGCAACGCCGCGUGAAGGAUGAAGCUUUUCGGAGUGUAAACUUCAUAAGAAUGGGACGAAUAAGGAAGGGCUAAUACCCCUUUUGAUGACGGUACCAUUUGUAAGCUCCGGCUAACUCCGUGCCAGCAGCCGCGGUAAUACGGGGGGAGCAAGCGUUGUUCGGAUUUACUGGGCGUAAAGGGCGCGUAGGCGGCGCAACAAGUCACUUGUGAAAUCUCCGGGCUUAACCCGGAGCGGCCAAGUGAUGCUGUCGUGCUAGAGUGCGGAAGGGGCUACUGGAAUUCUCGGUGUAGCGGUGAAAUGCGUAGAUAUCGAGAGGAACACCUGCGGCGAAGGCGGGUAGCUGGGCCGACACUGACGCUGAGGCGCGAAAGCCAGGGGAGCGAACGGGAUUAGAUACCCCGGUAGUCCUGGCCUUAAACGAUGGAUGCUUGGUGUCCGGGGUUACAUAGUCCCCGGGUGCCGGCGCUAACGCAUUAAGCAUCCCGCCUGGGGAGUACGGUCGCAAGACUGAAACUCAAAGGAAUUGACGGGGACCCGCACAAGCGGUGGAGCAUGUGGUUUAAUUCGACGCAACGCGAAGAACCUUACCUGGGCUAGAAUGCCUCUGACAACCCUGGAGACAGGGCCUUCUGGGUAAAACCAGACAGAGUGCAAGGUGCUGCAUGGCUGUCGUCAGCUCGUGUCGUGAGAUGUUGGGUUAAGUCCCGCAACGAGCGCAACCCUUGUCAGUAGUUGCCAGCGGGUUCGGCCGGGCACUCUACUGAGACUGCCGUUGAUAAAACGGAGGAAGGUGGGGAUGACGUCAAGUCCUCAUGGCCUUUAUGUCCAGGGCUACACACGUGCUACAAUGGCAGGUACAAACCGCUGCAAACUCGCAGAGGAGCCAAUCGGAAAAGCCUGUCCUCAGUUCGGAUUGAGUCUGCAACUUCGACUUCAUGAAGCUGGAAUCGC
rnacentral:rRNA from 1 species